UGCUGGAAACAGAAUGACUUCAACGAUACAGUUUGUGCCGAGGAGAUCCGGAUGUUCUAUGACUGCGUGGCAAAGGCAGAAGUUUCCAGCUACAUGAUAAAUUUGAAAUCAAAUCAGUUUCAAAAGCAGACUAAAGAAGGAGCGCAAGGAUCAAAAUGAGGACACCCUGUCACCCAGGGGAAACUUAACUUCAAGCAAAGCGAACAAGCUCCUAAGGAGGUUU